rnacentral:rRNA from 1 species
CGCUUAAAAGCUAGCCUGACCUUUAAAAAGAACAAUUUAACACGCCAACCUUAAAUAAUUUAGACACAUACUAAACAAAUCAUUUUUCCACCCAAGUAUAGGAGAUAGAAAAGGACUAAAAGAGCAAUAGACAAAGUACCGCAAGGGAAUGCUGAAAGAGAAAUGAAAUAACCCAGAAAUAGCCCAAAAAAGCAGAGAUUAAAUCUCGUACCUUUUGCAUCAUGUUCUAGCCAGUAACCCCUCAGCAAAGCGUAUUAUAGUUCAGCCCCCCGAAACUAAGCGAGCUACUCCGGGGCAGCCCAUGAAGGGGCACACCCGUCUCUGUGGCAAAAGAGUGGGAGGACCCCCGAGUAGAAGUGACAGACUAACCGAGCUUAGUUAUAGCUGGUUACUUAAGAAAUGAAUAGUAGUUCAGCCUUCCAGCUUCUCCAGCCCAAGACAUCGACCUAGACCGGCCAAAAGAAGCUUUUAGAGUUAGUCAAAGAAGGUACAGCUUCUUUGAAUAAAGAAACAACUUUCAGGGCAGGAUAAAGAUCACA